rnacentral:tRNA from 1 species
GCGGAGGUUGCCAAGCCAGGCCAACGGCGCAGGGCUUAGGAACCUGAGACCGAAUCGCGAGUUCAAAUCUCGCCCUCCGCACCA